UGGGCAUGGAGGUGUGCAUGGUGCGCGUCACGUGCACCGGAGAGACGGUCACCAAAAUGUCACCAGGGGCCACCUCUGAGAUUUGAGGUGAUUUUCACUCAGUUUUUUAAGCUUUUCUGUAUGGCUUCAACUUGCUAAUUUAACUGAGAAUUGCAUCAGAUACAUACUGCUAUAGUAAUGCUGCCCAUGGGACAAUGGUUGGCCAGGUGACUCUGCUGGCCUUGGCUGGGCUCUUUCAUGUCUGGGCAUGGCUGGCUGUUGGCCGAUCUAGACUGGUCGUGGCUUGACAGAUGAAGCAACUCUACUCCACAUUAUCUCUUAUCCUGUGCGUGGGCCCAGCCUUGAGGCAUCCUCGUGGCAAGGGCAGAAAUACAAAUAAAUCCAAUCUUGGAAGCAAACCACGCUUCCGCACCCCCCCCCCCAUCACAUCUGCUAACAUCCUAUUGGCCAGAACGAGUCACAUGGUGGAGCUUGGAGUCCAAGUCAGAGGCACCGAUGCAGUAAGCUGGUUUCACGCAAGAUGGCUGCCAGGGCUCCAGCCCCACAUCCUCCAGGUGGCACAGGCUAAGCUGUCUCCUGUGGCCAGAGAAUGUCCUUGGGUCGAGUCACUGGUGCUUGCAUCCAGAAGCUGGACUGCUAAGUGCUAGGGGUUAGGGGCGGGGCAUUGACAGCAUCUACUAUGGUGGGAAAAACAGGUCUCAGGUUAGGACAUUAGUUCAUUUUGGUCUGGGUCCUGCCCUCGAGGCAAGGAAGCCCAUAGGUACAGCCUCUGGAUAGAAUCCCAGAGUGGUUAAAGGCACGGGCUGUGGAGUAGGGCAGGUACAGGGUAUAGUUCGCUUUCCCCACUCACUAGCUGUGAGACCUGGGGCAAGUUACCCAACCUCUCUGGGCCUCAGUUGAUUACACGGCACUAGGCACAUGGUGAAUUUCCAAGAAAUGAGAGCUACAGGGCUGAGUCCCGUCUGGAGGAGUGACAUUUCCAGAGGCAUCUCUGA